rnacentral:rRNA from 1 species
AACGAACGCUGGCGGCAGGCCUAACACAUGCAAGUCGAGCGAGACCUUCGGGUCUAGCGGCGGACGGGUGAGUAACGCGUGGGAACGUGCCCUUUGCUUCGGAAUAGCCCCGGGAAACUGGGAGUAAUACCGAAUGUGCUCUACGGAGGAAAGAUUUAUCGGCAAAGGAUCGGCCCGCGUUGGAUUAGGUGGUUGGUGGGGUAAUGGCCUACCUACACGACGAUCCAUAGCUGGUUUGAGAGGAUGAUCAGCCACACUGGGACUGAGACACGGCCCAGACUCCUACGGGAGGAAGCAGUGGGGAAUCUUAGACAAGGGGGGAAACCCUGAUCUAGCCAUGCCGCGUGAGCGAUGAAGGCCUUAGGGUUGUAAAGCUCUUUCACCGGGGAAGAUAAUGACGGUACCCGGAGAAGAAGCCCCGGCUAACUCCGUGCCAGCAGCCGCAGUAACAC